rnacentral:rRNA from 1 species
GGCAGUCAGAGGCGAUGAAGGACGUGCUAAUCUGCGAUAAGCGUCGGUAAGGUGAUAUGAACCGUUAUAACCGGCGAUUUCCGAAUGGGGAAACCCAGUGUGUUUCGACACACUAUCAUUAACUGAAUCCAUAGGUUAAUGAGGCGAACCGGGGGAACUGAAACAUCUAAGUACCCCGAGGAAAAGAAAUCAACCGAGAUUCCCCCAGUAGCGGCGAGCGAACGGGGAGGAGCCCAGAGCCUGAAUCAGUGUGUGUGUUAGUGGAAGCGUCUGGAAAGGCGCGCGAUACAGGGUGACAGCCCCGUACACAAAAAUGCACAUACUGUGAGCUCGAUGAGUAGGGCGGGACACGUGGUAUCCUGUCUGAAUAUGGGGGGACCAUCCUCCAAGGCUAAAUACUCCUGACUGACCGAUAGUGAACCAGUACCGUGAGGGAAAGGCGAAAAGAACCCCGGCGAGGGGAGUGAAAAAGAACCUGAAACCGUGUACGUACAAGCAGUGGGAGCCUCUUUUAUGGGGUGACUGCGUACCUUUUGUAUAAUGGGUCAGCGACUUAUAUUCUGUAGCAAGGUUAACCGAAUAGGGGAGCCGAAGGGAAACCGAGUCUUAACUGGGCGUUAAGUUGCAGGGUAUAGACCCGAAACCCGGUGAUCUAGCCAUGGGCAGGUUGAAGGUUGGGUAACACUAACUGGAGGACCGAACCGACUAAUGUUGAAAAAUUAGCGGAUGACUUGUGGCUGGGGGUGAAAGGCCAAUCAAACCGGGAGAUAGCUGGUUCUCCCCGAAAGCUAUUUAGGUAGCGCCUCGUGAAUUCAUCUCCGGGGGUAGAGCACUGUUUCGGCAAGGGGGUCAUCCCGACUUACCAACCCGAUGCAAACUGCGAAUACCGGAGAAUGUUAUCACGGGAGACACACGGCGGGUGCUAACGUCCGUCGUGAAGAGGGAAACAACCCAGACCGCCAGCUAAGGUCCCAAAGUCAUGGUUAAGUGGGAAACGAUGUGGGAAGGCCCAGACAGCCAGGAUGUUGGCUUAGAAGCAGCCAUCAUUUAAAGAAAGCGUAAUAGCUCACUGGUCGAGUCGGCCUGCGCGGAAGAUGUAACGGGGCUAAACCAUGCACCGAAGCUGCGGCAGCGACGCUUAUGCGUUGUUGGGUAGGGGAGCGUUCUGUAAGC